CUUGCUCUCUGAUUUAGCGGCGGACGGGUGAGUAAUGCCUAGGAAUCUGCCUGGUAGUGGGGGAUAACGUUCCGAAAGGAACGCUAAUACCGCAUACGUCCUACGGGAGAAAGCAGGGGACCUUCGGGCCUUGCGCUAUCAGAUGAGCCUAGGUCGGAUUAGCUAGUUGGUGAGGUAAUGGCUCACCAAGGCGACGAUCCGUAACUGGUCUGAGAGGAUGAUCAGUCACACUGGAACUGAGACACGGUCCAGACUCCUACGGGAGGCAGCAGUGGGGAAUAUUGGACAAUGGGCGAAAGCCUGAUCCAGCCAUGCCGCGUGUGUGAAGAAGGUCUUCGGAUUGUAAAGCACUUUAAGUUGGGAGGAAGGGCAUUAACCUAAUACGUUAGUGUUUUGACGUUACCAACAGAAUAAGCACCGGCUAACUUCGUGCCAGCAGCCGCGGUAAUACGAAGGGUGCAAGCGUUAAUCGGAAUUACUGGGCGUAAAGCGCGCGUAGGUGGUUCGUUAAGUUGGAUGUGAAAGCCCCGGGCUCAACCUGGGAACUGCAUCCAAAACUGGCGAGCUAGAGUACGGUAGAGGGUAGUGGAAUUUCCUGUGUAGCGGUGAAAUGCGUAGAUAUAGGAAGGAACACCAGUGGCGAAGGCGACUACCUGGACUGAUACUGACACUGAGGUGCGAAAGCGUGGGGGAGCAAACAGGAUUAGAUACCCCUGGUAGUCCACGCCGUAAACGAUGUCAACUAGCCCGUUGGAAUCCUUGAGAUUUUUA
rnacentral:rRNA from 1 species